UAAUACGGAGGGUGCAAGCGUUAUCCGGAUUCACUGGGUUUAAAGGGUGCGUAGGCGGAUAGGUAAGUCAGUGGUGAAAUCUCAGAGCUUAACUCUGAAACUGCCAUUGAUACUAUCUAUCUUGAAUAUUGUGGAGGUAAGCGGAAUAUGUCAUGUAGCGGUGAAAUGCUUAGAUAUGACAUAGAACACCUAUUGCGAAGGCAGCUUACUACGCAUAUAUUGACGCUGAGGCACGAAAGCGUGGGGAUCAAACAGG
rnacentral:rRNA from 1 species